UGAGGCGGCAGGAGGGUUUCUAUUUUUUUACAGGAUGCUCAGAGAAAGCCUUGAUCAAGGUGACAUUUGAGCAAAGGCCUGGAGGAGGUAAGGGAGCGAGUCAUGUGGUUAUGUGAGGGGAAGAGUGGAACAGCAAGUGCAAAGGCCCUGAGGUGGGUGUGAGCCUGAAGUGUUCCAGAUCCAGGCUGGAGAGGAAGGUUACGAAAAUCCCACAUCAUGGUGAGGUACUGAGGAUAUCUUCCAACUCUGCAUUCAGUGAGGUCACAUUGGGGCUGAAAACCUCGGUGUAACCGUCUUCGGCAAAAUCCGGAAUUGACUGGCUCAUCUGAGUGAAAAAAAUCGUCGAGUUGGCUGGCUUCAGGCAUAGCUGGUUUCAGGAGCUCGGACGAUCCCAUGAAGCCAGUCUUGGCCUGUCAGUUCUGUUCUCUUCCACAUUGGGACCCUUUGGCAGCUCCUGCCUUUAGAAAUCCCCUUCAUGGUCACGGGAGUUAAAGAGCUGGGAGGUGGAAGGGAAGGUUCCAGGCAGAGAAAACAGUCCAGAACUGGUGCUAGUAAACCCAGAUCCUGGCUGGGCACAGUGGACAACCUGAUAGCCGCAUAGCAUCCUGCAGGCUGGACUCAAAGGGGAAGACAAGUUCUCGCCCCCGUGCUAAAUUCUUCAACUGAGAGGCAGGGUAGGAAUAGCUGCUCGGGCU